GGCUGGUCCAAUGUUAGUGAGUUAUCUCAAUUGAUUAUUCACAGUCAUAGAUCAAACUCCUUCUACUCUAUCCCCUUUUACCAUUACUGCACUUGACUAGUCUUAA
rnacentral:Y_RNA from 1 species